UCGGGAAUUUUGGGCAAUGGGCGCAAGCCUGAUCCAGCCAUGCCGCGUGCGGGAAGAAGGCCUUCGGGUUGUAAACCGCUUUUGUCAGGGAAGAAACGCUCUGGGCUAAUACCCUGGGGUAAUGACGGUACCUGAAGAAUAAGCACCGGCUAACUACGUGCCAGCAGCCGCGGUAAUACGUAGGGUGCAAGCGUUAAUCGGAAUUACUGGGCGUAAAGCGUGCGCAGGCGGUUAUGCAAGACAGAUGUGAAAUCCCCGGGCUCAACCUGGGAACUGCAUUUGUGACUGUAUAGCUAGAGUACGGUAGAGGGGGAUGGAAUUCCGCGUGUAGCAGUGAAAUGCGUAGAUAUUUGGAGGAACACCGAUGGCGAAGGCAGCCCCCUGGGCUAACACUGACGCUCAUGCACGAAAGCGUGGGGAGCAAACAGGAUUAGAUACCCCCGUAGUCCCUGAGCGGGCUGGCAAGGCGCAU
rnacentral:rRNA from 1 species